UUUUUCAGAAGAGACUACAAAGAAGCAUAAAAUGAAUAGACAAUACAACCAGCCAAAGGUAAUUUAAAUUUUUACAUUUGGUAAAAUAAAAAUGACGUACAAAGUCCAAAUAGAAUAUCAUUUGCUGGGUGGUAGGUCUGUAGUGUAUUGCAUAUGUCCCAGUUCAUGCAAUAGGUACAGUUCCAGAAAAAUCUAAGUUUCCAUAUGUGCAGUUUUUUCCCCUGUAUGUAGCCUUUGUAUACUAUAUAUCAAGGAUAAUGCAAACAUAACCUGUAACUGCCUAUAAAAAAUGAAAUUCGGGAUACAGAAGACAUAAUAGGACACUUUUUUUAGAAAGUAAGCCAGACAAGUACCUUGCCUGAACUAUACAAAUCACUGUAAAUUAAAUGGCUUUUAUGUGGAAAAUGGUAGUGUUGACUGUAUUAGUGGACUGUGGUUUACACACAUAAGAAUCUACAAACUCAGUGUUAAAAAGGGAUUUCAGAAAUAGGCCAAUUUUUUAUAUACCAUGCAGUAGUCUGAAUAGGAUUCAGAGAGGUAUUAUAAAUAUUAGUACCAAACCUGAUUAUUUGCAUUUAUGGAAUAGCAUGAGUCUGAUACAAAUAUGUGGAAAAUCAUAACUUUUCACUUCUGACUUAAGCAGAGAUUGUUUAUUCCCAAGAAAACCAGGAUGUUUCAAUUCAUGUUUCAGCCAUCUGGAGACCUAUAAAAAGAUGAGAAAACAAGCAUGACAAUCAUGUCCUAAUCUACUGGCCAUUAAUGGGAAUUUAUUAGAGAAUGAGCAAGCAAGCCAUUUGAAUUCAGUACAUCCUUCAAUAUGCAGAUUUCAAAAAGGGUAUUCUGUAGCUCAGAUAAAUAGCUUUCUGAAAAACAGAAAUAUCUGAAAUAUAAACAUGUAGGUGUUAAUAGUUGCUCAUAACAAUGCAUGGCAGGCAUUUCUGGGAAUCAGCACAAUUGUUUCAACUGUUUCAAAUCCCAAGUAAUAAUAGAGUCCUUGAACUGUAUAUGAUAAACCAUGGUAUGGACGUUGGCAAUAUUCAAAAUAAUCAGGUGUUCAGUACUAAGCCUUGCUAUAUAUCUUUUAUUUCUCCAUACCUUGAAAGAGGAUAGAGAGGUAAAAUAUUUGAUUGGCUAUAUGGCUAAUGAGCACACUGCCCAUAAUCAUUAUGUUAGCCAUUUUCACUUUUUGGAGCUCUCACAAUGAAUCUACAGUAUAUGUGGCAUGCAUGGGGGCCAGUCCUGGAGUCAGCUGAUAUGACUAUGUGGCACUGCUUUAGAAUAUGCUAUUUUAAGACAGUAUUUUCUGUAGCUUCUAAGUGUAGAAGCACUUCAAAUGGUCAGUGUCUUGGCUUUCAUGAUAGUUACUUGGGUUCAAAAAUGCAUUUAAUUUUUAAAUGUGGAAAUGUAGCCACACUAAUUUGUGAAUUCACACAAAUAUGGACUGACACACAGAGACAUACAUGUAUCACAUCUCUACUUUCACCACCCCCCACCCAGACAUAUGUAAAGCAAAAAGAUAUUCUAAAAAUAUCUGGCAUUCCUUAGGGUUUUGACUUAAAGAAUUGAAUUCAUCUGAUCAUAUGCUUGCUUUAUGUAGUACAUGCCAAAUCACUAAUGAUUCUGCUUCGAGGUCUUGGAAAGCAAAGCCAAAAUACUCUCAAUCUUCCAAGGCAGCAAAGCUCAUUAUGGUUUUACAUAAUGUCAAAGUGGCAUGUGCCUCAGUGAUGUGUUCAAUUCUAUCCAUUAGUUUAUGUUGUGACCUCGUAGUUCUAGAAGGAGCAGUAACUCUAUGGGAGUGUGUUUCUCUGAAUUACUUUGUAGUUUGCAUGUACAUUUUAUAUGUAACCCAAUGCAGCCAUUUCUGAUCAUACUUCUUGUACCAAGAUUUGAUAAGAAAGAUACAUAUACUAUUUCCCCAACUUAGACUUUUCUAGAUAAUAAGAACAUGAAUGCUCACCAAAAAAAAAAAAAAAAGUAAAUAAAAAUCUAAGGGAAAUUGGCAUCCAUGUUUCUAAAUUGUAUCUUUAAUUGGUGUAAUAUUAUUGUUUGAACUCUAGAUUGGGGCUUAGCAAUUUUGGUUUUCUUUACUUGUCAGUCUUUUCUCUGGAUUUAUAUAUGUGUGCUCUGUAUGUAAUUUGGUAAGCAUAUUCACACUCAUGUCUUAACAUGAAUAAAUUUCUGAAUUAAUGGAAGAGUAUAUAUUAAUGCUGAAAGUGUUUUAGUCAUUGGGGAAAAUAGUCAACCUAAAGAAAUGAGAGUAUUGUGAUAAACUAGUGAUGUGUGAAAUGAAUAUGAAGGUUUAUAACAUUCGCUUGUAGCAUAUAUUUUAAAGAACAGUAACACCACCAAACAGGACUCCUAAUUUUGGAAAACAAUCAGUAAAGUUCACCCAGGGUGGAUAUGCACCUUAUGUGGGUUGCACCUUAGAUAUUCUGUUGUGGGGCAUCUGACUCUUAGAACUGUACAUAUUAUAGAUGCAUUAAACAUAGAUUACCCAUUACGAAGGAGGAGAAGAAAAGAGCUUUUUUAAGUGACCAUAUUUACACUUUGAAAAGUCCUAAGAGAGGAAGGAGGCUAAUUAAUUAAUAAAACAAUAGUCCCCUCUAGAUAGAAGAAAGGUGGGGGUGGGGAAGGGGAAGGAGGGGUGGAGUUAUGCUCUUACCACCCAGGUGUUUUGUCUUUUUCAUGAGGUAACAAUACUUUUUUCAUAAUUUCAUAAGGAAUACUAGUGUAUUUUGUCCUUCUGUACGAACAUUGAUGUUUGAAACUAUAAACAAAGGCUCAGCAUUUUUAUUACAGCAGAGUUGUGUACAACAGUAGAAACUAAUGCUGCAGUGCUUACCUGUGCCAGAUUCUAAGGCACACACCCUAUACAGUCAUUAAAACAAACAAACCAAACAAACAAACAAACAAAACAGGAUGAAGUCGGCCUGCUUAGAGCAUUCCGUUUGAACUUACAGAGCAAAAUAUGCUGCCCUAUCGCCAUGGUACAUAGAUACAAAACAUGACUGAGCUGUGAAGCCAUUAAAAACACACCACCAGAGCAAAUUGUCAAUGUAAUCACACAUCGACUCACUGCGUAAUACAGAUCUGAUUCCCAGCCCCAGAAAGCAAGGCCCUGCUUUAAGCAAUAGCAAAGUGCCUUCCAUCUGUCUGCCCAUGCAAUCUGCCAGAAGAGAAACGCAGGCAAAGACGUUCCCCAGAUCUGAAAUGCUUUUAUCUGUCCUUAGAGAGAGAUUUCUUCCAGUCUUUGGAUAUUAGAGCGAUCUACAGUAGCACCGAAGAGGUAAAAGGCCGCGGGUUGCUUUUCCUGGAGCAGUCGGUAGUGCUAGCGGAAGAGAUGUUGAUUGAGAAAAUAGGGCUUGUAGCGAUGCUGCUGCUGCUGCUGCUGCCGCUGCCGCUGCUCGGGCAGGAGGCGUGGGGCAGUUGGCUGAUCACUGAUGCAUAUCAAUAACCAUGUACUUGAGAUUUCUCAUGACAUCAUCAUUACCUUGGUCUCCCGCGGUCUCGAACCUUUGACCUUGCCGGGCUGGUCCACGUUUUGGCUGUGAAAGCCCCUCCAAUGAUGGCCCUUUUCUCCUUCUUUCAGACCGGGGGCAGCAGCACACCAGCAAGACGGCAUCUUCUCUUCCCCAGCCUAGAAGCCCUGUGAAAUCGAGGAUCUUCCCCCUAAAACACACACACACAAGAUAUGUGCAAUCAAGCUGCCACCGCUUGGUAAAAAGCUCAUGGUGCCUAACCCAAAAGGAUCAGGAGCAGAUCCCUGAAUCAGCUGUCACCUCUUCUAUAGAAUGGGAUGUUUUUUUUUCCUUCCUCCUUAACCUGCGCUGGAAAUUGCCGUUGGCUUUAUACAUCUCUAUAGAGGGAGGCUAAAGAGUCUUGCGUGAGAAUGAAGCAAUUUACAAUGCAAAUAGAGGCCUGUGGAGGGACGGAUGCUGCUGCACACUCCUAACCGCCCGCUGCAUCUUAAUAGCUGGUUUUAUUUUCUGAUAUUAAUAGAUGAAUUGUUGGCUAACGCUGCCGGAGAUUACUUGCUGAAAGGAAAAAAAAAAGUUCGGAAUAAACUUUGAAAGCAACAGAUCUCGUUUGGAUGUUUUAGCCGCACACACAAACAGAAACCAGGUCAUAUUCACAUACAAGAAGGAGUCUUGUGCACGGCAAGUGUCCUGGAGGACUGCUCUUCGGUACUGCCAGAGAGAGCGGGAUCUGGAAUCUGGCCAGAGGAAGA
rnacentral:lncRNA from 1 species